rnacentral:rRNA from 1 species
UACGUAGGGUGCAAGCGUUGUCCGGAAUUAUUGGGCGUAAAGAGCUCGUAGGCGGCCUGUCGCGUCGGCUGUGAAAACCCGAGGCUCAACCUCGGGCCUGCAGUCGAUACGGGCAGGCUAGAGUUCGGUAGGGGAGACUGGAAUUCCUGGUGUAGCGGUGAAAUGCGCAGAUAUCAGGAGGAACACCGGUGGCGAAGGCGGGUCUCUGGGCCGAAACUGACGCUGAGGAGCGAAAGCGUGGGGAGCAAACAGG